UCCUCCCUCUUUCUUCGUGCCUAAUACAUGCAAGUAGAACGCACAGUUUAUACCGUAGCUUGCUACACCAUACACUGUGAGUUGCGAACGGGCGAGUAACGCGUAGGUAACCUGCCUGGUAGCUGGGGAUAACUAUUGGAAACGAUAGCUAAUACCGCAUAAUAUUCAUUAUUGCAUGAUAAUUGAUUGAAAGAUGCAAUUGCAUCACUACCAGAUGGACCUGCGUUGUAUUAGCUAGUAGGUGAGGUAACGGCUCACCUAGGCGACGAUACAUAGCCGACCUGAGAGGGUGAUCGGCCACACUGGGACUGAGACACGGCCCAGACGCCUACGGGAGGCAGCAGUAGGGAAUCUUCGGCAAUGGACGAAAGUCUGACCGAGCAACGCCGCGUGAGUGAAGAAGGUUUUCGGAUCGUAAAGCUCUGUUGUAAGAGAAGAACGGGUGUGAGAGUGGAAAGUUCACACUGUGACGGUAUCUUACCAGAAAGGGACGGCUAACUACGUG
rnacentral:rRNA from 1 species